rnacentral:rRNA from 1 species
UACGUAGGGACCAAGCGUUGUUCGGAUUUACUGGGCGUAAAGGGCGCGUAGGCGGCUUGACAAGUCACUUGUGAAAUCUCCGGGCUUAACUCGGAACGGCCAAGUGAAACUGUCAUGCUAGAGUGCAGAAGGGGCAAUCGGAAUUCCUGGUGUAGCGGUGGAAUGCGCAGAUAUCAGGAGGAACACCAAUAGCGAAGGCAGCUCGCUGGGACGUUACUGACACUGAGGCGCGAAAGCGUGGGGAGCGAACAGG